UUUUUCUUACAGUGUAUUUUUUUUUUCUCCAUCUACUGUGUCUCAUUACUUCUCCAACUUCUCUGUGAGAGAGCUCAGAAUAAGAAGAAAAUACUUUUAAGUAUGGCAAAUUCAGGAAGAAGUAGGAAAUACCCCUGCCAAAUUUAAGGAUGACAUCAAACCAGUGCCAUACAGAAGGUCCUGAACAGACUGAAUGAAUGAACCUUGUGAAACCAAGCAAUUUCAAAUGCCAAGUGCUCGAAGGAAGAAGCCCCUGCAAUGACAUAGUAACAUCAUUACCUUCUGAAAUAUCUAGGAGGUUCUCUUGGUUGAGAGCAGCUAUAACACCAGGUCUUCCAUUUGGGAAAGUAAACAAGCAGUUAAGCAUAUUAGAUUUUAGAAGCCUGUAGAAAUAUUGAAGUGGGUCAUUUUUACAAACUGUGAACAGAAAACAAACAAACAAAACAGAGUUCACAUUACUCUUACUCAUUCAAAAAAUCAUGUCCCUGUGAGGUAUGCAUUACUGAUAUAUCAUAUCUCCAUGGGAGAUGAAGUAGUCCCUAUUAGCUUAAAGCUGUGAUAAAACUGUGAUUAUCUUCACAGUAAUUGAAAUGUUACUGUCAUACUCUCUCAGUUACAAAACGACACUGAGUAACCAGAAAAAGAAUUAUUCAUUAUUCAAGGAACUACUGUAAAAAUAAUUGUGUCUGUAUCAGAUUCUACCUGCAGCUAUCUGAGAAGACCUUAUCCACACUUUGGGAAUGACUAUUGACAUCAGUGGUUAAGCUUUUAUGUCCAGUAUUACCUGUGACUCACUUCUUUUUCUUCAUUACUGCUGGAUAUGCAAACGAUAUAGCUAAAAGUAACAGUGUUUCUUUUUACCAGUUGUGUUAGGCACAGCACUGCUAACUGGUCAAUGAAAAUGGCUCUCCUGGACUCUGGGUAUGUGUACAGAAUGAGUAUGAGAGGCUGGAGAGCAGCUCCAAGGGAAGAGAUCUGGGGGUUCUGAGUGAUGAAAGUUGAACAAAAAUCAGCAGUGAGCCCUGGACAGCCAAAAGGGCCAAGCACAUCUUGAGCCAGUGUAGUUGAGUCAGAAGGUUCAACUUCUACUACCAUACCACUGCCUGCUUCUGACAUCAUGGGCAACAUGACAAAAUAGGAGGUUAAUAUCAUUUAAAAAUAAUGCAGGAGAUAUUUAAAGCACAUCAGAAGUACAGAGGACUCUUUUUGCAAGUUGAUACCUUCAAAGAAUCCCAAAUCCCUCAAAAGUGAAUUAUAUGGUAUAAAUAAG
ensembl:lncRNA